GACAGAGGGUGCAAACGUUGUUCGGAAUUACUGGGCGUAAAGCGUGUGUAGGCGGCUUUGUAAGUCGGAUGUGAAAGCCCCGGGCUCAACCCGGGAAGUGCACUCGAUACUGCGAAGCUUGAGUACUGGAGAGGUUGGUGGAAUUCUCGGUGUAGAGGUGAAAUUCGUAGAUAUCGAGAGGAACACCGGUGGCGAAGGCGGCCAACUGGACAGAUACUGACGCUGAGACACGAAAGCGUGGGGAGCGAACAGG
rnacentral:rRNA from 1 species